GUCCACAAGUCCUUUUCCAUACCGCUGAUAUUUUGUAGAGGGUUUUUCCAUCUGCCCGGAGGACAGAGUUCGUGCUCUGUCAUUUUCCUUCUGAUAUUUUGUUUAGUUUGGGGUGUUGGGGUGAUCCUCUCAGAAUGAGUUAAAAUUCCCUUCGCUUCUGUUUCCGGGAAGAGUUUGUAAAGAUUUGGGGUCAUUUCUUCCUUAGUUGUUUGGUUGAAUCCACCGAGAACUCCUCCCAGGGCUCUUGCUGGAGCCUCUGUGAAUCAUCGUUUCGGCUUCUCUCACAGCCUUCCUCAGUGAUGUAGAAGAACAAAACAGCACAGUAUGCAGAGAGGUGGUACCAGAGCCCAGAGCCCUCUGACGUUCCUCUUGAUGCAGUGCUUAAAAGCGCUUCCUGUUUCGUCACUGAGCGUGGUUCUCACUGUAGAGCCUCUGAGCCUCCGAGCCACCUGCAGACCGGGCCAGCACCCGCAUGUCCACGGAACUGCCGCGGGGACAGCGCUGGCAGUGCGUCCAGGAUGCUGAGCCAGAGUAGCGACCAUGCUCCGGUGACAGCAAGGCAGGGCUGCAUGGCCGCACCUCCUGGGUCACACUGGGACCCAAGGCCCUCUGGACAGGGCGAGUGUGUCAGUGACACUGCCCAGCACCGCCUCCCCGGGCUGAGUGGCCGAGAAAGUCCUGCUUGAGACACACAGCGGCGGCUCCUGCCGGCUUCUGCCGAGGUGGACGCAGUGAAGGGUCUGCGUCCCUCCCAUGAGAGGCACCUGCUUCUGGUCACUACAGCUCGUGGUACGCAGUGGGGACAGCUCAGCCCACUUGCUGGAGGAGAAGGAGGCUGGGAAGAGACUGCUCAGGCAGGGGUGUGCCCUGCCCAGGGGACAUCCUGCUGGAUGCCGAGGGCGACAUGAAAGUGAGUGACUUGGGGCUCGAGGGGAGCCAAGUUCCCUGUCUUGUGCCCCAGAAAUGUCCUCAGGCAAGGAGGGUAACAGCCCCUCGGCGGUGGGGUCAUCCUGUUGCUUCCCCUGGACUCCACUCUGGAGCUGCAGGCAAGUGCCCGAGGGAGGAGCAACCUCUGUCCUCUCUCCCUGGACACGCAGAGCUCCCUCUGCCAGCUUCUCUCUCAGCCCCAGGCACAGGCCCAUGCUUGGGACCACCCUGGGGUACCCGUCCCUGCCAGUCCUCCACCGGAGCUGCCCCCAACUGCCUGAGCCCCAAACUCUGAGGGGCCUGUCUCUGGCUGUGACCCUCAGGAGAUGACAGAGGGCACUGGUGACCAUGGCCACGCGGCUCAUGCUGGAAUGGCCGGGAUGGUGGCGCACAGGCUGCGCCCUCUGUGUGAAGCCCGCCACCCUGGAGAUCCCAGCCCCUCGACCCUCCUCCCAGGAGGAGGCCCAGCGAGCCUGCCCUGGGCCCCAUCCCUUUCCUGCCCGCUGUUCACCUCUUUGGCCUACAGAUGGGGACCCUGCUCCCAGCGAAGCCACGGCCUCUGCCGGCCGUAAGAGGCAGGCUGGACAGUGUGUGGCCAGGAGCCUGGCCACCAUCUGGGCCUGCAUUUGGACCCUUCUCUGCCACUGCCGGUCAACCAGCCGGCAGGAAACACACCCUGGGUGUAGAACCAAGGGACUCGAUAGCAGAGCCAUGCACACAGCAGUGGAGAGCAGAGGACCCUGGACUCCUUGGGGAUGCAGAAGAGGAGGUGGCAGGCGAGGAUGCCAGCAGCUGCAGAGGGAGGAGAGCAGGAUGUCUGGCCCGCUGGGGGCGGGGCAGCAGGCGCAGAGGGCUCCUGAGUCACUUCCCCAGCACCUCUCCCUUGUUUCUGGGAUAGCAGAGGUGGAUUUUAAUAAAUUGAUGUUUCUACCACCCAAAUUCAAAGACCCAGUUCAAAAAUGGGCAUCUGAAAUGAACAGACAUUUCUCAGACAAAGAAGUAAAAGCAGCAAAUAAAUAUAUGAAAAAAUGUUCAUCAUCACUGGUCAUUUGAGAGAUGCAGAUGAAAA